UCCAGGCCGGAAGCAGGAAGGCGGAAGCCGCGACUCUCCCAACCCGCCCACAGGCCGGCCCUCGCCAGCAUCCGGCCUGAGGAAGUCGCGGGGCCAGUUUCCGGCUGCGCCAUUGCUGUGUGGGUCCCGGGAAAGGGGGGAGGGUGGGGCGGCGCCUGGGUUUCCGGGGAGAGGCAGGUGAGGCCGCUCGAGGUGAGCGGCGGCGCCCGGCUGGUGUCUGGCCCGAAGCCCGAGUCCCGCGCCUCCUGACUGAGGCGCGGGUGGGCUCCGGUCUCUGGGAGCCGGUCUGGAAGCGCUGAGGACCCCCUACCUUUGCCCCGGUGGUCAUCAGAACAGCCGCUCCCCUGCAGGAGCUUAGCCAAGGGUGGAGGGCCCCGGUGGGUGAGAUCCGUGACCCCCGGAAACUCCGACCGAGGAACGGCGGCCAAGAAAGGAGUUGGUCCCCCAAAACCGCCCAGAGCCAAGGUGAAGGUCACACCCAGCGACUCCUGAAGGAUUCUAGCGAGUUCCUCUGGUUCACAUCCACUCUUUGACCCUCUCCUCUUCUGGUUGGACAAUAGUUAAAGCCUCGCGUCGAGGAGACCAAGCUCAGCAGGACCGUGGUGGGUCCACUGACCGUUGUUUCUAAGGGAAAAUGCAGCCAUGCUGUGUGAAGAAGCGUUUUUGUUGUUUCAACUAAGAACCUCUUUUCACAAAAGAAUGAUCGAUAUUUGCCCAAAGUAAACUUGAUAAAUAAUUAAACUGUGUGGGCAUAGAGUUCCCAUAGAGGUACUUGUUCUUUCAGUGCACAAAUAAAGAGAUUCAAAAGUCAACAAGCAGAAAGAGUGAGUUCUCAUUGUCUUCUAAUCUACAGGAACUGAGAGAUUAACUCGGGUUUGGUUGGUGAUCAAGUUUUGUGAUCUCUUGCACUGAACUGCUCUGUUUGACUACCUCUUCAAAUGUUGCAAGACCUCUUCACUGGUGUGUGCCAAAUAAAGCAGGUUUUUAUUCUUGAAAGACUAUAGAAUGUUCUCUUUGAGGAGCAAGCUGUGACAUGUAUAACUAGUUUAGGGAUAACAACAGUAACCAUUAUUUACCAGGGAACAGACUUUUGGCAAAUAAUCUAAUGAUCUAAAAUACUGUUUGUUGGGCAUAUGUUAAUGUUUGUAUGUUGUAUUAGUAGCAGUUGUUUUCUUACUCAUUCUUGUUUGAAAAUUUGGAUGAUGGUUUCAAAGCUUGUGCUGCUUGGACCUAGCCUGUACCUGUGGUAGCCAGAAAAAGCAGACUCAGUCAUUGGAUUGUGUGUACAGAAAACUUGACUUGCUGGCAGAAAGACUUUGUGGGGUUUUUGUUUUUUUUUUCAACUUGCCCAAAUAGUAAUUCCAGGAGAGGGUCAGAAUUUAUUUUAACGUCCUUCACUCCAGAGACCAGUAUGUGUAUGUGUUAUUUUAAUCAUGGUUAGACAGUUUUCCUGAUGACUGCCUCCCCAGUAAUUCGCUCUGCUGUGUCCCUUGUGAAAUGCAGGGGAGUGGAUGGAAAGGCACAUAAGAAGGAAGCGUCUGUAGCUCUUUGGCGCUAGUGUAAAUCAGGCUUUCACUGUCUAAUAUUACUGGUCUCCUUUCCAGUUCCAGGAAUGGCUACAAGCCCAGGAAUAGCAUAGAAGUUGCCACAGCUAAGCUCCCUACUGCUACCUGAGUUGCCUUAAUGAAAGGUGGUGUCAAGAUUGGUUCAGACAGUGCAGGCUACUUUCUAGAGUCAGGAGUUUCAGCUUGUGAGUUGUGAUUCACAGGCCUUGUCUCUGGUGAUUUGAUACUCUGAAAAGUUUCCUCUUUUGUAUGUGGAAAGCUGUUAGAUUAUCCCUGGGGUUCUUUCAGCUUGAAAAUUCUAUUGAUUAAACUGGAUUUGGCCAUUUUUCUUACUUCAGCUUCAUAAGCAGCAGCAGAAUAAGGAAUUUAAUGGAAACAUCAUGGCCAGUUUUCAUAAGGGCUUGUUCUUUAUUUGAAAGAUUCUUAACUGAGUGUUCUCUCUCGGAUGUCUUUCAGAAUUUACUUAGAAUAAUAUGGAAAUAAAGUCUGCUUGUAUUUUAUUUAAGAAAUAAAAUCUUAACCAUUCAUGUAGCUUUAACUGAAAUAACUAAAGCUUACACUUUAAUUAAUGAGGGUUGUCUUUGAAUAAGAAUAAUUACUUUGUAGCAUAUCACAUCAUAUCCAUACCAGUUACUCUGUUGCAAUUAUAGUUUGAAAAUGGAGCCUUCCAAAUUUUUAAGUUUUUUACUCUUAAUAAUUAUUAAGUAAGAACUCAUCUUUCAUUAGUUCUGUUUAAAAGUCUUUCUCUCUUAGGUGGUACAUUUCACCCUGACUCAUGUCAAAAUUGUGAAUGACAAACCUCCAUAAGAGUCUAUUAUAAUAAUCUAGACUUAACUAAAGAUUUUAAGAGUUUUCUUACCUGCUUAACAAUUUGUGUUUUGUUUUUGGUAGAAUUGGUUUCUUCCCUAAGUUUUAUUUUAUGAGUUUUUUCCUACCAUUAAAACACAAUGCAGAUAGAUUUCUUAUUAGGCACAUUUAUGUAAAAAUAAUAGGUACAUGUAUGUAACUAGAAAGGUCAUAGGUUUUAGUGAUAUUUGGAAGAUUAUACUGCAGAAUUGUAAUGUUUAAAGGCUAUUUAUUGACUGCUGUGUUCCAGGUACUAGGCUAGAUGCUUUGCAUCUCUUAUCACUAUUGCUGAGACUAAACUCUGCAGGAUGGUAUUAUACCUGUUUUACAGAUACGGGACCAGAGAUUUAAAAAGUAGAGCAGAGUUCUAAACAGAUCUGGCCCAAAAAAGCCCUGCUCUUGUUUAAUUCCAGAGAUUAGACAAAAUGCUGAUCUCAUAAAAUGAAAGUAAAUUUUUUAUUCUAUAAUUGUUGAUUUAACUAAUAAUCACAAGAAAAUCUUGCCAUACUUCAAAUUGCCCAUUGCCCAGGUGGUGGCAGCAUGUCUCAAAGAGCUCGUGUGGUGUAGGUUUUCUCCAGCCUUGCCAGUGGAUUUGCUUCUUCAUCCCACAUACAUCCAUGACCUGUCUGUUAAGCUCUACUUCUCUCUUGGGCACUUUCACUGCUAUUAGACCAACCCAUCAGUGAUUCACUCCAUCUUCCAUCCUCCCUUCUGCCUCAUCUUCUGAAUGGGUCAUACUCUGCCAGUUUGCUUUCAACCUAUCCCAAGGACAGAGGAGCCUGGCUAGCUGCAGUCCAUGGGGUCGCAAAGACACGACUGAGUGACUAACACUUACUUGCUUAUUUUCCCUACAAAGAAAGCAUCACCAAAGUAUUAUUUUUUGGAAAUUUCAGUAACACAAAGACUUUUUUUUUUCCUUCAAAUAUUGUUAGUUUUCACCCUUUUUUGUUAAAUGUAAUUUGGCAAAAGCACAUCAUAAACUAAAUAAAUGGCUGAUAUUAAUAUGAAAUACCUGUUUAAAUUAAAAGACAUGUGUCUUAAAUGUAAUGGGAUAUACCAGUUAAGAAGGUAAUAAAAAGCUUUUAAAAGAUAGAAUUUGUCUUCAAAAUAAGAACAAGAAGAUUCAGUAGGGAACAGUGAAAGGUCAUAUAAUUUAGAAGGAUGUGUGUGUGUGUGUGUGUGUGUGUGUGUGUGUGUGUGUGUGUGUAAGAAUAACUAGCUAAACUUAACCUUAGCCAAAAAUUUCUUGGAACAUUGUCCUUGCAGGGCUACUUCCUAGAGAUUUCAAAUCAGAUGGUACCUCACAGAAGCCUUCUCUACCCCUAUUUUAUUUUUCUCCCAACACUUCAGUCUGACAUCUUGUUUACUGGUUUAUUGUUUAUCUUUUCCCUGCUAUCAUAUAAGCUAGAUGAGAUCAGUUACCACAGUACCUAAAAUAUUGUUUUGAAUAAUUGAUUCCAAGAUACAACAUUACCACUUACAAAUAAAGCUGUUAGUGUUUGAAUGAAUCAUGAAACAAUCUAAAUCCUGGGAAUCUGUGAAGCUGAUGUUAAAGUAUCAAACUGUUAUUGUAUAUUUUGAAAGAAAUAAGGGAUGCCCCAGUUAGAAUAGGCCCCAGAAAAGAUUAGUUAAUAAGGUGUUUCGGAAAGAUAAAAAUAAUUGUGGUUAUCUUGUUAAUGAAAGACUAGUUGCUUAAGGAUUUCCAAGUAUGUAAAAAGUAUGUUGAAGGAACCUAGUGAUUCAUCAUCUUCAUUGAUAAGAUAAAAGGAAUUAGUCCUAGACUGUAGGUGCUAAGAUUUAAGAUAACAACAAGCUAGACCAGAGAUCUAAAUAGAGAUCUUUGAAAAUGAGGUAAGAGUAUAUAUUAUGCAGGCUAGAUGCCCUCUCUAGAUAUUUCCCAGCUUUAUGAUUCCCAAUGCAGAUUGCAAGAGAAAGAUAGCAGAUGCUUAUCUCAUUGAUUAUUCCUUGCUGUCUAUGGCCUUAUCUGCACAUUUAAAAAACUUUUCAGUGUGUUUGAGUGAUAUGUAUUGAUACUUUGGGUAGUUUAUAGAAGUUUUUUCACGUGAUUGAACAUUGGGUGUUCUACCUUUUUAACCCUGCAACUGUUUACAUUUCUAUAUCUCCAGAAUGUAUGCUACAUGCACAUGCAGCAAACUAAUUCCCUGUAAUUAGAGGGCACCUUUUUGGAAAGGUUAAAUUUUCAUUAAAUUCUUCUGAAGCCUGAGUUGCAGUCCUAUUAAAGUUGUGGGAGACACUAAGCUUUCCUGCUGAAUCUAUAAGUUCAGAUAUUCGGCUUAUCCCUAAAUGAUGUAAUAAUAUUAGCCAUAUCAGGUCACCUUUAGUUUCUGUGCUAGGGUCUCCUAGCCAUUAAAUAGAAGUUGUUGUCCAGUUGAGAAAACUAACCCAUGUAUAAGAGUCCUUCAGUGUAAAGACAAUGUGUAUUGCAAAAGCAGCCCCUAGCAGCAUCACCUUCACUGAGUAGCAACUUAAUUUUAUACAUUCCACCUUCAACUAAGCAAACUACUUGAAGUAACCAUAUCAAAUAUAACCAUAUUUGCUGUAUGAUAUUGUCAGGUAUGUUGGCCUCUGUGUCAUACAGGGCCCUUUAUGUAUAAAGUCCCAUUUAAGAUAUUUUAGAAUGUGAUUCUUAAAAAAAGUUUUGGAAGCCACUUUUUCAUUGGAAGAGUAUUUCCUCUCUUCAAUUUGUCAGGAAGCUCAGGAGCCAAAUUUGAUAUUCAUGUUUAAUAUCCAUCCUGACUUGCAUGCUUGCAUUUCUUUUUGAAUGUAUUUUUCUUAGAACAGAUAUUCUGUACCUGUCAUUAUUGUAUAUGUUCAUGGAGUAAGAUACCUGGUGAAAUAGGCACAAGUAUAAUAUGCCUCUAGAUCAAGUGUUUGAAACCUAGAACAUAGCAUAGAUGUUUGAUAUGUAACAGUAGUUAUUUGGUAGUAAAACUCUUCCACUGCUUCCAAUUUUUAUGUUUAUUUUAAAAUCUUGUGCUAUAAUAUAUCAUUCAGAACUAGGGGACAUAGGAAAUCAUUGUUUAGAAUUGCAUCCCAAAGUCUAGUUCUAAAAGCUAGCUUGUGCCUUUAAUAGCCCUCAGAGUAUAAUGUGUAUAUUUGGAAUCUAGUUUUAAAAGUGAACAAAAAUUUACUGGUGCCAGGUUAUAAAUAUAGUUCCCUAAACCAUCACUUAGAGACAUAUCCUAGCCCCAAAUUCAUAAAUUGCUUUUGCUGAGUUCACGGCUUACGUUUUUAAGCUUUAAGUCAGGAAGUGAAACAGUCUGAAAUCCAAAAACUCCUUUGUGAUUCAUAUAUGUCCUCUUGAAGUGUAAUAAAUAAUUGAGGUGUAUAUGAUGAGUUUCUGGAGGCUUUGAAUUUAGAGUUCUUAAUUUUUAGAAUUGACCUUGAUCAGCUGAUUUUCUGUCCUCUGUAAUAAGGAAGUUGGACCAAUGUCCUCUUGAGAGUCUUUUCAUCUCUAGGUUUCAAUAUUCUGUUGUAGGCUUUACUGCAAUUGUAGACUAUAUUAUUAACGAAUAUAGAUGUAGUCCCCACCAGGGACUUCCCUGGUGGCUCAGAGGGUAAAAGCAUCUGCCUACAAUGCGGGAGACCUGGGUUCAAUCCCUGGGUUGGGAAGAUCUCCUGGAGAAGGAAAUGGCAACCCAUUCCAGUAUUCUUGCCUGGAAAAUUCCAUGGACGGAGGAGCCUGGCAGGCUACAGUCCAUGGGGUCGCAAAGAGUCGGAUACGACUGAGCCACUUCACUUCAUAGAUGUAGAAGAAUCUGAUUUAAUCUCCUUCUAGGUACAUAAUUGAUCAUGUUGUGUGGACCAAAGAGAUCAUUUAAUAUUUCUGUGCCUAGUUUCCAUGUCCAUAAUGUGGAAGUAAUAAUACCUGUUUUUUUGCAAUACUAACUAGUUAAGAAACAUGUAACCUUUUUAUACAAGGUUGAAUUCUAUAGAAUUCAUUUGUAAGUUGAUUCUUGAGAGCUUACACAGAUUCCCAGGGAACAGUGGUUUAGUUCUUCAUGUAGCCUCUAUAUAGCUAUUUGACACACAGCAUAGGUUGAAAAAAGUACCUCUGCAUAAAAAAGGUAAUUCUCAAUACUAGUAACAAAAUAAUAAAAAUUAAACAAAUCUUUGUUUCCUUGUACCACAGUAAGAUUUUAUAAAGAGUGAUAAUGAUUGUAAAUAGUGGAAAUGAAUUUGUCUGAGUCCGUUUUUUCCCCCAAGUUUUUGGAUCCUAAAAGGUAUGAGUGCUUUGUCAGCGCUUUCCAAUCAUCUUACCAUAUAUGCAAUCUAGAAAUCACUGUUUGUUGCAGUUGUUUUCAAGUCUGUUAAACCCUUUUAUACUACAAGAAACUACAGCUGCAUAUGGGCCUAUAAAUUAUUCAUGUGUGUAUGCAAUGCAUAUGGAAUAUAUUCAUACACACUAAUCUAUGAUGUGCCCCUCUCCCCACUUUACUAUCUGUGGAAUGAAGUACAGUCUCCUUAGAGGAGGAAAAUGAUUUUUCCAGUCUGAUCCAACCUGCUGUGUAAAUUUUCAACAUGAUAGAGGAGCAUUUAUUUCAGACCUCUGCAGCUCCAAAAAACUCCUUCUUACUGCAGUGGUGGACAAUAUAGACUGGAACCAAACUACCUGGUUUGGAUCCCAGCUCUGCCUCUUGCUGGGUUGCAGAGACAGCUGUGAGAAUGCACGCCACAGACUCCCACUACAAGGAGCUUAGUUGUCCAAGGGCCCCAGCUGCUGUGCUGAGAAAUCCAUCACUACUUUUGUGCUCAGAAAUGGCUUCUUUCAUAGCUCAGUGACUGAAUGAGAUACUGAGGCCUGUUUCUGGGAGACAGAAGACUCCUCUGAUGGCCAGUGAGGAGUCAAGGACUCCUCCAUUGUCUUGCCAAGCCUUCCUUAAGCUACGCUACAGUCUAGGACUCUUCCUCCCCUCUCUUCACUUGCAUCAUGGCGUGACGGUUUACCCAGUCUUGCCCAGCUCCUUCCCCAUUUUCUCUCACAGCUAUUUCCUGUAAUAGGCAUCUUACACAUUUAAUCCCAUCUUGGCUUCUGGGAUGGAUAAAAUUGGGAUUCAGAGCAGGCUCAUUCAAUACCUGGCCAGAAGUUGUCACCCUGGUGGGCGGGUGGGGCACUCAUCACACCUGGCAUAAAGUUGCAGAUUAACUGUUAAGGUUUCACUGGUAGAGACUUGAGGAAAACUAUGGUAGGUGUGAUUAUGCAGGUAUUUGGAAAAUAGGGGAGGAAUGAUACCUACAAAGACAACAGAAUUGGCUGAUUACUGCUAAAUUGUAUUGGAGCACUGCUGAAGGAAAAUGAGACACAGAGCUGUUAACAAGCAGUUAACAGCUAAGUAUGAGAGCUGUAGAGCCUCUGUGAUAAGUUUAUAGAGAGGCCUUUAACACCUGGAGUUGAAAGACAAGAGUUGGUUGAACUGCAAGCUGAAGAGCCUACUAAUUCUUAGUGUCACAAGGCUCCAGAGACAUUUGAGCACUGAAAGUUUCGCCAAGGCAGUUCUGUUAAUAUGAAGGUGGGGAAACCUAGGAUCCUAAACACAGAUGGGGUCAUCUGGAUGGAUGUCCCUGUGACUCCUAUUCCUUCUGGACCAUCAGGGCUUGCAGAGGUAGUAGCCUUUCUCUAGCAAACUCACAUGUUUGCUGUGCUGGAAGAUGCUGCAGAAGCCUCCUACCCACAGGCAGUAGCCCUCCUCCCUGACCCUGCCCUCCUCCUCCUCCUUUCCCCAGUGUCAAGCCAAUAAUUAACCAAUAACAAAUCCAGUCACUGGUAAAUCCCAGCAUAACCCAGCUGGGAUGUGCUGGGCCUGAUAAGAGAAGAUAGAGACUAUUUUCCUAAAAAUUUGCAUGCUUUAACUGGCAUUACUGGCAGGAACCAGGACAGGACUCCUGGGAUUGGAUUUUAAAGGUGUUUUUUUUUUUUUUUUCCAAAGGGGCAAGAAUGUGAGAUUAGAUAUAUACAAAUUAAUUGACUGAAGGGCACUUUCUGGGGUAUAGAGGAUUUAACACCCCAAGAAGAACUCUGUUAUAGACUGAAUGCGUCGCCCCAAAAUUCAUCUCUUUAAACCUAAUCCCCCGUGUGACUUGGAGGUAAGAGGCCCCAGACAGCUCGCCUGUGCUUUCCACCACGUGAAGACACAGCAAAGAGACAGCUGUUUGUGAACCAGGAAGUGGGCUCUCCCCAGACACCAAAUCUGCAAGCACCUCAGUCUUGGACUUCCCAGCCUUCAGAACCGUGAGAAAUAAAAGUUUGUUGUUUAAAUCACUCAGACUAUGGUCUUCUGUUAUAGCAGCACGAACUCAGAUCCUGAUGUUCAGGGAAAACUUGCUAAGGGGAUGAAUUUUUAGAAACCGAGGGGAAAAGCCCAUUCUUAGCAAAGUGAGAAAAGUCUGAAUGGUAUUGGCAGACUGUAGAGGAAGGAAUAAAGAGGCUGAGCAAAGUGAGCAUACCGGACCAGAAGAUCCAUCAGAGGACUGUGCUCUGUGAACGUCCCCAGAGGAGACGGCAUUCACCCAAGGCCAUCAGGAAAACAGUGCUGAGAGAAAGACCAACAUCACCAAGUUUGCAGGCCAGAGAUGGAGAACCCAGGCAGCACGCAGACCAAUUACGUCACCUUCUGGAGCUGGAACACAAGCAUCAGGAGUGUCUUCACUCCCCAGGUGAUUCCAACAUGCAGAUGAGUGUGGAGACCACUGAUCUCGACAGCUCUGUUACUUCGUGAUUUCAAGAAAACCCAACUGCAGCUUCUCCUAGACUACUGACUCUGCCCUUGAUGGCAGGUUCUGUAUUGUGCAGUUUCUCCAUCAACGUAGUCAGCUUUGAACUUAAGCAAGGCCACAGCCUGAGAGGCAAGAAUACAGGAGUGGAUAUGCCAUUUCUGUCUCCAGGGGAUCUUUCUGACCAGGAACCAAAGCUGUGUCUCCUGUGUUGGCAGGCUGAUCCUUUACCGCUGAGCAAGCAGGGAAGUCCACGAACUAAAAUCAGUCUCAUGGCAGCUGCGCAAGAUGGGAAGGAAUAAUCGCUGAAAUUAGACCAAGGAGGAGAGCGUGAAGUGUGUUUUCUUUCAGCCACCGGUGUCGGAAGAGCUCAAGUUCAGGU